GGGGAAUCUUGCACAAUGGGGGAAACCCUGAUGCAGCGACGCCGCGUGAACGAUGAAGCCCUUCGGGGUGUAAAGUUCUUUCGGCAGGGACGAUAAUGACGGUACCUGCAGAAGCAGCUGCGGCUAACUACGUGCCAGCAGCCGCGGUAAUACGUAGGCAGCAAGCUUUGUUCGGAAUUACUGGGCGUAAAGAGUGCGUAGGCGGUUGGCUAAGUUUGGUGUGAAAUCUCCCGGCUCAACUGGGAGGGUGCGCCGAAAACUGGCUGGCUAGAGUGCGGGAGAGGAUAGUGGAAUUCCUGGUGUAGCGGUGAAAUGCGUAGAUAUCAGGAGGAACACCUGAGGUGUAGACGGCUAUCUGGACCGUAACUGACGCUGAGGCACGAAAGCGUGGGGAGCAAAC
rnacentral:rRNA from 1 species